rnacentral:rRNA from 1 species
GACGAACGCUGGCGGCGUGCCUAAUACAUGCAAGUUGAGCGCUGAAGGUUGGUACUUGUACCAACUGGAUGAGCAGCGAACGGGUGAGUAACGCGUGGGGAAUCUGCCUUUGAGCGGGGGACAACAUUUGGAAACGAAUGCUAAUACCGCAUAAAAACUUUAAACACAAGUUUUAAGUUUGAAAGAUGCAAUUGCAUCACUCAAAGAUGAUCCCGCGUUGUAUUAGCUAGUUGGUGAGGUAAAGGCUCACCAAGGCGAUGAUACAUAGCCGACCUGAGAGGGUGAUCGGCCACAUUGGGACUGAGACACGGCCCAAACUCCUACGGGAGGCAGCAGUAGGGAAUCUUCGGCAAUGGACGAAAGUCUGACCGAGCAACGCCGCGUGAGUGAAGAAGGUUUUCGGAUCGUAAAGCUCUGUUGGUAGAGAAGAACGUUGGUGAGAGUGGAAAGCUCAUCAAGUGACGGUAACUACCCAGAAAGGGACGGCUAACUACGUG